CAUAUGGAUGAUUGGCUAAUUUGGCUUUCAGGCAACACUGAGUUUGGUACCUGCAAUUUAUGGGCCCAUUUGGGGCUCUGUUAUGCACCCUAAAAAUGGAGUUUUGUCCAGUUGCAACCCUCCGUUACACAAUUCAUGUGUUUGGCCGAGUGUUACGUUGCAAAUGAAACUGUAAGAUUGGCGAUGAAAGUAGAAACUCACGAGAGCUACUUUGAUUGAUACUAACAUUUUACCAAAACUUCUUUUCACUUAAAAAAAAUACGAAACUAUCUUUUGGCAUCAAAAUAUCUGAAUCUCUUGCCACAAUUGCCCUCAACUUAUCUGGUUAUUACAUGCCCUAUCACUUUGUGCAUUUUAACCAAAAUCGCAACAAAUCUUUCCAGGUGCAGCUUCGUUCUCUCCAUUUGAAAUUUUCCUGCUUCUACUGUGACUGAUUUUUUCUUGAGCAUCACUAUAGUUAUUAGCGAUUUGCAGCAGUUGGAGAAGUUUUCUAUCAGUUUCAGACAUAACUGUUAGCGUAGAACUGUCUCACCUUCGACUUCGUCCUACGGAAGUUUGAUCGGCCUUUAUGUAUCGGCUUUGUUAUGCCUUAUUUGACCAAGUCCUUUUGGACUCUAUGCUUUGGUCUCAAAUAUGUUGGGCUUUGUUGACCUUGUCUCUAUGGACUUAUGUUUUGGUCUGGCCCUAUUUUUGAGUUCAUUAUAACUCAAAAAUAUUUUGUUUUAGGGAUAUUUCAUCUUUCUGACUUCUUAUUCAUAAGAACUAAAGAAUGUAAUUCGUCCUGCAAGUAAGCUUCUUUCC